AUUGAACGCUGGCGGCAUGCCUUACACAUGCAAGUCGAACGGUAACAGGUUAAGCUGAUGAGUGGCGAAAGGGUGAGUAAUGUAUCGGAACGUGCCCAAUCGUGGGGGAUAACUGCUUGAAAGAGCAGCUAAUACCGCAUACGACCUGAGGGCGAAAGCGGGGGAUCGCAAGACCUCGCGCGAUUGGAGCGGCCGAUAUCAGAUUAGGUAGUUGGUGAGGUAAAGGCUCACCAAGCCGACGAUCUGUAGCUGGUCUGAGAGGACGACCAGCCACACUGGGACUGAGACACGGCCCAGACUCCUACGGGAGGCAGCAGUGGGGAAUUUUGGACAAUGGGCGCAAGCCUGAUCCAGCCAUGCCGCGUGCGGGAAGAAGGCCUUCGGGUUGUAAACCGCUUUUGUCAGGGAAGAAAAGGUUCUGGCUAAUACCUGGGGCUCAUGACGGUACCUGAAGAAUAAGCACCGGCUAACUACGUG
rnacentral:rRNA from 1 species